rnacentral:lncRNA from 1 species
GCCGAUAAUAUACAAGGACGUGGGCUCGACUCCCACCUGCGGCAAGUUGCGUUUUCGUUCACUUUCA